CAGUAGCCGCGGGAAAACGUAUGUCACGAGCGUUAUCCGGAUUUAUUGGGCGUAAAGCGCGUCUAGGUGGUUAUAUAGUCUGAUGUGAAAAUGCAGGGCUCAACUCUGUAUUGCGUUGGAAACUGUAUAACUAGAGUACUGGAGAGGUAAGCGGAACUACAAGUGUAGAGGUGAAAUUCGUAGAUAUUUGUAGGAAUGCCGAUGGGGAAGCCAGCUUACUGGACAGAUACUGACGCUGAAGCGCGAAAGCGUGGGUAGCAAACAGGAUUAGAUACCCCCGUAGUCCCUGUCUCUUAUACAC
rnacentral:rRNA from 1 species